AGCGAACGCUAGCGGCAGGCCUAACACAUGCAAGUCGAACGGACCCUUCGGGGUUAGUGGCGGACGGGUGAGUAACACGUGGGAACGUGCCUUUAGGUUCGGAAUAGCUCCUGGAAACGGGUGGUAAUGCCGAAUGUGCCCUUCGGGGGAAAGAUUUAUCGCCUUUAGAGCGGCCCGCGUCUGAUUAGCUAGUUGGUGAGGUAACGGCUCACCAAGGCGACGAUCAGUAGCUGGUCUGAGAGGAUGACCAGCCACACUGGGACUGAGACACGGCCCAGACUCCUACGGGAGGCAGCAGUGGGGAAUCUUGCGCAAUGGGCGAAAGCCUGACGCAGCCAUGCCGCGUGAAUGAUGAAGGUCUUAGGAUUGUAAAAUUCUUUCACCGGGGACGAUAAUGACGGUACCCGGAGAAGAAGCCCCGGCUAACUUCGUG
rnacentral:rRNA from 1 species